rnacentral:tRNA from 1 species
GUUAGAGUGUCAGAAGUAUGUGCUGCAUUUAGGUUGUAGUUAUGAAACUAAGUUUCCUCUAAUA